rnacentral:rRNA from 1 species
AGUGAACGCUGGCGGUAGGCCUAACACAUGCAAGUCGAACGGCAGCACAGUAAGAGCUUGCUCUUACGGGUGGCGAGUGGCGGACGGGUGAGGAAUACAUCGGAAUCUACUUUUUCGUGGGGGAUAACGUAGAGAAACUUACGCUAAUACCGCAUCCGACCUACGGGCGAAAGCAGUGGAUCUUCGGACCUUGCGCGAUUGAAUGAGCCGAUGUCGGAUUAGCUAGUUGGCGGGGUAAAGGCCCACCAAGGCGACGAUCCGUAGCUGGUCUGAGAGGAUGAUCAGCUACACUGGAACUGAGACACGGUCCAGACUCCUACGGGAGGCAGCAGUGGGGAAUAUUGGACAAUGGGCGCAAGCCUGAUCCAGCCAUACCGCGUGGGUGAAGAAGGCCUUCGGGUUGUAAAGUCCUUUUGUUGGGAAAGAAAAGCAGCAGGUUAAUACCCCGCUGUUCUGACGGUACCCAAAGAAUAAGCACCGGCUAACUUCGUG